UUAAAGCUUAAGGAAGACCGUAUGGCUCAGGUGCCACCUGGCUGGUUUUCAUACUGGAGUGCCGGCUAAAAGGUUUAAUGUGCUGGGCUGUUUGUUUUCUUGUUUUCAUUUGAGACAUGUUAGAGUGCUCUGAAAUUCACACUCCCCAGUAAUCCAGACUGCAACGUCAAGUUAGGAUAGGAGUAUUACUUUGAUUGCACAGCCUGCUAUGCAAAUGGAACAAUGGGUCCAAAGAAAAAUGGAGCUCUUAGGACUGUUCUCUGAGCACAGAUGAACCAACAAGAUCUAGAGAGACCCUCAUUUGCAAGGAGCCCAUUAGCUCUUGAGGAAAACAUAGCAAAGCUGGUGGGUAACUGCACCCAGAGGCAGCCAAGUGUAAAAGGAGAGAGGCUGAGAAAGACAGCUAUUAUUGGGAAAAUUUCUGGAGUGGCAGUAAGAGUGAGC